CCAGGCUCACAGCCUUUGUGUUGAAGGUCCUGAGUUUGGCCCAGGAGCAGGUAGGAGGCUCGCCUGAGAAACUGCAGGAGACAUCUAACUGGCUUCUGUCCCAGCAGCAGGCUGACGGCUCGUUCCAGGACCCCUGUCCAGUGUUAGACAGGAGCAUGCAGGGGGGUUUGGUGGGCAAUGAUGAGACUGUGGCACUCACAGCCUUUGUGACCAUCGCCCUUCAUCAUGGGCUGGCCGUCUUCCAGGAUGAGGGUGCAGAGCCAUUGAAGCAGAGAGUGGAAGCCUCCAUCUCAAAGGCAAGCUCAUUUUUGGGGGAGAAAGCAAGUGCUGGGCUCCUGGGUGCCCACGCAGCUGCCAUCACGGCCUAUGCCCUGACACUGACCAAGGCGCCUGUGGACCUGCUCGGUGUUGCCCACAACAACCUCAUGGCAAUGGCCCAGGAGACUGGAGCUCCUCGCAACCCAUCCGACCCCAUGCCCCAGGCCCCAGCCCUGUGGAUUGAAACCACAGCCUACGCCCUGCUGCACCUCCUGCUUCACGAGGGCAAAGCAGAGAUGGCAGACCAGGCUGCGGCCUGGCUCACCCGUCAGGGCAGCUUCCAAGGGGGAUUCCGCAGUACCCAAGACACGGUGAUUGCCCUGGAUGCCCUGUCUGCCUACUGGAUUGCCUCCCACACCACUGAGGAGAGGGGUCUCAAUGUGACUCUCAGCUCCACAGGCCGGAAUGGGUUCAAGUCCCACGCGCUGCAGCUGAACAACCGCCAGAUUCGCGGCCUGGAGGAGGAGCUGCAGUUUUCCUUGGGCAGCAAGAUCAAUGUGAAGGUGGGAGGAAACAGCAAAGGAACCCUGAAGGUCCUUCGUACCUACAAUGUCCU
rnacentral:misc_RNA from 1 species